rnacentral:rRNA from 1 species
AUUGAACGCUGGCGGCAUGCUUUACACAUGCAAGUCGAACGGUAACAGGCCGCAAGGUGCUGACGAGUGGCGAACGGGUGAGUAAUGCAUCGGAACGUGCCCAGUCGUGGGGGAUAACGCAGCGAAAGCUGCGCUAAUACCGCAUACGAGCUAUGGAUGAAAGCGGGGGACCGUCAGUCCUCGCGCGAUUGGAGCGGCCGAUGUCAGAUUAGGUAGUUGGUGAGGUAAAGGCUCACCAAGCCGACGAUCUGUAGCUGGUCUGAGAGGACGACCAGCCACACUGGGACUGAGACACGGCCCAGACUCCUACGGGAGGCAGCAAUGGGGAAUUUUGGACAAUGGGGGCAACCCUGAUCCAGCAAUGCCGCGUGCAGGAAGAAGGCCUUCGGGUUGUAAACUGCUUUUGUACGGAACGAAACGGCUCCGGUUAAUACCCGGAGCUAAUGACGGUACCGUAAGAAUAAGCACCGGCUAACUACGUGCCAGCCGCCGCCGUAAUAC